UCACAGUCAAAAGCUGCAAAAAUAUGAAGACGACAAGAAUUGACUGUUUAUCAAACAAUUCCUCCAUUAUCAUUCAUUUAUAAAAUUGACAACAGUGUCCCCAACUACUAAAUUUCUCUCUAAUAUAACUAGUUAUUUUAUACUUUUUAUUUUGAAUAGAAAUAAAAUUGACAAAUGCACAUUAUGUGGGAUGGGAUGGGGAACGGAUGUUGGACGCCGUUAAAAGUUAACAUAGUUGUAUAUCGAAUUCCAGAUUUUAUGGCUUCAUUGUUUCAUAACCAAUAAACAGCUUAGUUUUCAUAAUCCUUAACCUUAGUUGCUUCAUAAUAAAUUACAAUAUUGUUUUUCAGCGUCUUUAUCCGAAAAUUGUAAUGAAUCUGGUUAUAUUUUUGAUAUUUCUGUCUCCUGCUUUUAUGGAAUCAAAAGUGUAUAAACCAUUUCCGACUGCGCGUUGUCAGAAUAACAAUAUGACCGGAUGCAUGAGAGUCAGUAACCGCGGCUUCCAUUAUGACAAGACAGCAAAGGAAUGUAAGGUAUCAAAUGCGACGUGGCAGAAUUGUGAGAAUAGUAAUUCUUGGAAACGAGUAGAAGAUUGCGUACUUGAGUGUCAAGGAGAAAAAGUUUAUGAACAAAAACUGUACGAGGUAGAAAUUGAAGCGAGAAAAAAUACCGGGUAAAUUAAGAGUGAAUCUAUCAGAGCAGGGAAUUUUUGGAAACAGUGCUAAACAAAAAUUUAAGUUGGAAAUCGGAGCAAAUUUAAAUUUCAUGUAAAUAUGUAUACAUAUGUAUGUAUGUAACUCAAUAGUUUGCAUUAAACUUAAGGUACCACAAGAGAGUUGGCAAGGAAUUAUACCACUCAGUUUGAUUGUAAUUUUCUCAGAAAUUAUAGUAGGUAGAAAUUUGGUUCAAAUACAAAUUUUGUAAAAAAAUUACUACUCUAAAUUUUGGUAAAUGUCCCCUUCUGCUGUUACUUAUACUUACGUAUUUAUAUCCAAAAUAGUCGACCAUGAUGAAUUUUUUUUAAAACGUCCUAGCGUCAAAACCAUACGGAGCACAAACGUGGGACGACUCCCACAUCGUGCGAAAUAGUUUUACUUGGGGAGCAUAAUGGGUCUCAUUUCCAUAUUGUCUUCCAUACUUUUCGAAAUAGCAUUUCUAUACUUGCCCCUCCAUAUUAUUUUAUGUUUCUGAGGACAAAAAUGGUUCACAUCUCUUUACCAGACACAAAUGAGCCCACAAACCGAUUAUACACCCUGCAGAAAUAUAUAAUGAUUCCAAAUAACAACCAUUAUGACCUUAAAGUCCAUCCCCUCCAUCUCGGGGAGCUCUUAAAAAUGCCCCAAUGCCCUUGUUGUUAUGCGGAGCCGUACUUCAUGUCUUGACUCAUUUUCUCUAAAAAAUCAUGUUGCUAAGUCCAGAAAAAAUUGAAA